AUAUGGCUGAAUUACUUGUUAAAAAUUCUAGAUAGAUAUUUGAAACAUCUAUUGUCUUAGUAAAGGCGAAAGAAAGGAAAAUUAAUAUUAAAGUACCGAGAGGGAACAAUAAAAGCUUCUAAAAAACAACUAAAUAGUGUACUUUUCGCAUCACGGCCUAGCAAGAGUAAAAUUUGAAUUAACUUUCUCGAAAGCCGGCGAGCUAUCUUUUUCUGGUUUUUUAGAACAUUUAUGCUAUUAAAAAUGUGGCAAAAUUUUAAUAAAAGGAAAAGAUAGCUGUAAUACGCUUUUCGCGCUGGUGAUAGCUAGUUCUUCCAAAAAGGUAUAUAAGUGCCGAGGCGAGUGAAAUGCCUAAGGCUAAAAAGCUAGCAAAGGUUUCCUCAGCCUAAAAAGACUUAAGGAUAAGCUUAAGUCUAAAACGGAAAAUAGUAGUGUUAUUAACUCAAUGUAGGCUUGAAACUAGCCAGCAUAUAAAGUCUGUUAUAAGAUAGUUCUAUAAGAAAAAAGAUUUAUUUACUCACCUCUCCGUAAAAGAAUGGAAGUAUAGUUUUUAAUAUAAAAACUUAUGCUAAUGCUAGGAUGAGUAUUUUACCAGUUGGUAUCGCGGGCUAAUACAUUAAAUUAUGCCCUAUUUUUCUAUAAAAACUUUUAAAUUAGGAAGAAGGAACUCGGCAACAAUAUGCCUCGCCUGUUUAGCAAAAACAUGGCUCUUUGAAAAAAACUAAUAAAGAGUCGGACCUGCCCAGUGAAGUUUUAACGGCCGCGGUACUCUGACCGUGCAAAGGUAGCAUAAUCACUUGCCUUAUAAUUGAAGGCUGGUAUGAAUGGUUUGACGAGGGCAUAACUGUCUCCUUCCUAAUUAUUAGAAUUUGACCUGUGGGUGAAGAGGCCCAUAUAAAACUGAAGGACGAGAAGACCCUGUCGAGCUUUAGAAGAAAGUAGGCUAAAAUAUAUAAGUAACUAUAAAGCUACUCUUAUUCAUUGGUUGGGGCGACAAGGGAACAAUAGAAGCUUCCCUUAAUAAAUAAACAUAUAUGUAAGGAUCCAGGAUUCCUGAUUACAAAAAUUAGUUACCGCAGGGAUAACAGCAUAAUCUUUUUUGAGAGACCUUAUCGAAAAGGGGGGUUGUGACCUCGAUGUUGGACUAGGAUAUCCCGAAGGUGCAGAAGCCUUCGAUGGUUGUCUGUUCGACCAUUAAAAUCCUACAUGAUCUGAGUUCAGACCGGCGUGAGCCAGGUCAGUUUCUAUCCUCAGUUUUUUACUCAGGCCUAGUACGAAAGGAUCGGGCUGGGGAAAAAAUUUCUAUAGUAGAAAAGAUAUAAUUUUUAACUUAAGAUUAUU
rnacentral:rRNA from 12 species